rnacentral:rRNA from 1 species
GUAGGGGCCUAGCGUUGUCCGGAUUUAUUGGGCGUAAAGAGCUCGUAGGCGGUUCGGUAAGUCAGGUGUGAAAUCUCCACGCUCAACGUGGAGGAGCCACCUGAUACUGCCGUGACUUGAGUCCGGUAGGGGAGUGUGGAAUUCCCGGUGUAGCGGUGAAAUGCGCAGAUAUCGGGAGGAACACCAGUAGCGAAGGCGGCACUCUGGGCCGGUACUGACGCUGAGGAGCGAAAGCGUGGGGAGCAAACAGGAUUAGAUACCCUGGUAGUCCACGCCGUAAACGUUGGGCACUAGGUGUGGGACUCUAUCGACGGGUUCCGUGCCGUAGCUAACGCAUUAAGUGCCCCGCCUGGGGAGUACGGCCGCAAGGCUAAA